rnacentral:rRNA from 1 species
UUCCUUUAAGUUUCAGACUUGCGUCCGUACUUCCCAGGCGGCAAACUUAACGGCUUCCCUGCGGCACUGCAUUGGCCAUAAGCCAAUGCAUCACCGAGUUUGCAUCGUUUACAGCUGGGACUACCCGGGUAUCUAAUCCGGUUUGCUCCCCCAGCUUUCAUCCCUCACCGUCGAACGUGUUCUGGCAGACCGCCUUCGCCACUGGUGGUCCUCGGAGGAUCAGAGGAUUUUACCCCUACCCCCCGAAUACCGUCCGCCUCUCCCACUCCCUAGCUUUGUAGUAUCUCCAGCGGCCCAUCUGUUAAGCAGGUGGAUUUAACCGGAGACUUGCAAA